UACGGAGGGUGCAAGCGUUAAUCGGAAUUACUGGGCGUAAAGCGCACGCAGGCGGUUUGUUAAGUCAGAUGUGAAAUCCCCGCGCUUAACGUGGGAACUGCAUUUGAAACUGGCAAGCUAGAGUCUUGUAGAGGGGGGUAGAAUUCCAGGUGUAGCGGUGAAAUGCGUAGAGAUCUGGAGGAAUACCGGUGGUGAAGGCGGCCCCCUGGACAAAGACUGACGCUCAGGUGCGAAAGCGUGGGGAGCAGGCAGG
rnacentral:rRNA from 1 species